CCUACGGGAGGCAGCAGCCGCGGUAAUUGCCCAAUGUACAAAUGUACGAGGCAGUGACGAUAAAUCUCGAAUCGGCUUCGGCCGGUAUUGAGCUGACGGAGGAGUAGAGUCCCUCUGAAACGCAAUUAGUGGGAGAGCAUGGUGCCAGCAGCCGCGGUAAU
rnacentral:rRNA from 1 species